GACGAACGCUGGCGGCGUGCUUAACACAUGCAAGUCGAACGCUGAGGCUUGGUGCUUGCUCCGCUUGCGUUAGCGGCGGACGGGUGAGUAACACGUGGAUAACCUGCCUUUGACUCUGGGAUAACCCUGGGAAACCGGGUCUAAUACCGGAUACUAUAUUUCACCGCAUGGUGGUGUGGUGAAAGGCGGUUUUUGGUUUUGGAUUGGCUGGCGGCCUAUCGGCUUGUCGGGGUGGUAAUGGCUCACCAAGGCAAAGCCGGGUUGCCGGCCCGAGAGGGGGGCCGGCCACAAUGGGACUGAGGGACGGCCCAGACUCCAACGGGAGGCAGCAGUGGGGAAUAUUGCACAAUGGGGGGAAGCCAGAUGCGGAGACGCCGCGUGCGGGAUGACCGCCUUCGGGUUGUAAACCACUUUCAGCGUAGAAGAAGCGAAAGUGACGGUACCUGCACAAGAAGCGCCGGCUAACUACGUG
rnacentral:rRNA from 1 species